rnacentral:lncRNA from 1 species
UAUAUCCUUGCAUUCGUGGGGUGCAAAGGUGUGAUAUAAAUAUCAACGUGAUGCAUAUGACAAUAUAUAACACUUCAUCAAAGUGGAAAUAACAAUACACCAAGCAUAUGACAAGAUACAUCACAAAUGAUUUAGAGAUAUGAACCACACUAGCAAGUCACAAAUAAGUCUUACAAAUUUAAAAAGGUUCACUUGGCACACCAUGCAUCACACCACACAUAGUUCUCCUAUGUCCACAAGCCAAAACUAGAAAAACUCAAAAGAUAAAGAUAAUUCCAUCCAUCAAUGGUGAGCUCACUCCCCCUUUGGCAUCAAGCUCCAAAAAGGGGAGGCCCUUCCAUGGGCCAUCACUCGUCGUCCUCAUCGUUAUCCUCAUCACCAUCAUCUUCUUCUUCUUCAUCGUCGGGAGUGUGAGCCUCGGGAAUAUCUUCAUCUUACUCCUCAGAGUCCUCUCACCCACCAAAGUCCUCCUCCUCAUCACCACCUUGGGUAGCCCCAAAGAACAUAGAGGGCUUCCCUAUCUCCUCCCCAGGAUUGCAGAAAACCGGUGGAGGAGGGAAAUCCAUAGGAGCACUAAGAGGUGAGUGGGGAAUAUCAUUCUUGGCCAUGAGUUCCUUUUGCCUUUUCUCAAUCUUGAGAAGCUCCUCAUCCAUUUGCUUCUUGUGGGCAUAUAUCUCAUCCGCAUUGUGUCACGGCACAUUGAAGCAAGCAAAAAGGCCUUGGGAGAUGAAGCUCAGAAUCCCCUUCUUCUUAGGAGCACGAGUGGGGCCUCUAGAAGUAGAGGGCCAACGUGAGGAAGAUGGCUCCAUAGAUGGUCCAUGAGAGGAAGAAGGUCCAAGUGAAGGUCCUUGUGAAGCUAAAGGUCCUUGAGAAACACUUGGAGGUGGAAGAAAAAUUGCAUGAGACCCUAUCUUCAAAAGCCUCUCAAUUUGGCCCUUCUUGGGCUUGUAGAUGGGAUGACCUUUAUCCGUUAAGAUGUCCAAGUUCGUCACUUCUGUAAUCAUAGCAAAGAUGAAUGGUGCAUAGUGACAACUCUUAUUGGAAGAAUAUGAGCAAAUAAUAAUCUCUUCCCAUAUGAAGUCAAAGACACUGAAGUUCCCUUAUCCGGAUGCAUCCAUACUAACAAAUUCUUGGACAUAUUGGAGAUGUUGUCCGAAUCACCACCUUUAGGGCAAAGACUAUAACGAAACAACUGAUUCAACAAUCUAUAAUACGGAAUCAUGCCCUUAGUGGUGCCAUGCUCAAUUGUCCCAUAAGCAAGAUCAUACAUGAAAGCCAUUUUGCCAUCCUCAAUGACAUUCUCAUCAUGUAUCUUGUACCUAGUAAGGUCAGCUCCCGCAUAAC